GAUGAACGCUGGCGGCGUGCCUAAUACAUGCAAGUCGAACGCUGAAGGAAGGAGCUUGCUCUUUCCGGGUGAGUUGCGAACGGGUGAGUAACGCGUAGGUAACCUGCCUGGUAGCGGGGGAUAACUAUGGGAAACGAUAGCUAAUACCGCAUAACAGUAGAUGUUGCAUGAUGUCUACUUAAAAGGCGCCAUUGCACCACGACCAGAUGGACCUGCGUUGUAUUAGCUAGUUGGUGAGGUAACGGCUCACCAAGGCGACGAUACAUAGCCGACCUGAGAGGGUGGGCGGCCACACUGGGACGGAGACACGGCCCAGACUCCUACGGGAGGCAGCAGGAGGGAAUCUUCGGCAAUGGGCGGAAGACUGACCGAGCAACGCCGCGUGAGUGAAGAAGGUUGUCGGAUCGUAAAGCUCGGUUGUAAGAGAAGAACGAGUGUGAGAGUGGAAAGUUCACACUGUGACGGUAUCUUACCAGAAAGGGACGGCUAACUACGUG
rnacentral:rRNA from 1 species